ensembl:snoRNA
CUAUGGUCCCCUAUAAACUAGUUACAAAAGUGCCCAAAGUGGCCAUUUUCCUGGAUGGCCACUCUUGUGUUAUCUGUCAUUGACCUGUGACAUUUUGUGAAAGGACAGCU